GUGUCAGCCGCCGCGGUAAUACGGGGGGAACGAGCGUUGUUCGGAUUUACUGGGCGUAAAGGGCACGCAGGCGGGGAGACAAGUCAGAUGUGAAAACCCAUAGCUUAACUCUGGGCCUGCAUUUGAUACUGUUUCUCUUGAGUACGGGAGAGGAUGGCGGAAUUCUUGGUGUAGCGGUGAAAUGCGUAGAUAUCAAGAAGAACACCGGUGGCGAAGGCGGCCAUCUGGCCCGAUACUGACGCUCAUGUGCGAAGGCAAGGGGAGCAAACAGGAUUAGAAACCCGAGUAGUCC
rnacentral:rRNA from 1 species